AUUGAACGCUGGCGGCAUGCCUUACACAUGCAAGUCGAACGGCAGCACGGGUGCUUGCACCUGGUGGCGAGUGGCGAACGGGUGAGUAAUAUAUCGGAACGUACCUUAUUGUUGGGGAUAACGCAGCGAAAGCUGUGCUAAUACCGCAUAAUCCCUAAGGGGGAAAGCGGGGGACCGUAAGGCCUCGCGCAAUUAGAGCGGCCGAUACCUGAUUAGCUAGUUGGUGAGGUAAAGGCUCACCAAGGCAACGAUCAGUAGCUGGUCUGAGAGGACGAUCAGCCACACUGGGACUGAGACACGGCCCAGACUCCUACGGGAGGCAGCAGUGGGGACUUUUGGACAAUGGGGGCAACCCUGAUCCAGCAAUGCCGCGUGAGUGAAGAAGGCCUUCGGGUUGUAAAGCUCUUUUGUCAGGGAAGAAACAGCAGCUCUAACACAGUUUGCGAAUGACGGUACCUGAAGAAUAAGCACCGGCUAACUACGUGCCAGCAGCCGCCGUAA
rnacentral:rRNA from 1 species